rnacentral:lncRNA from 1 species
GUGCCUCUUAUUUAUCUUAACUCGUUGUUAUGUUACUAUAUGUCUAUAUAGCUUUAAAAGGAUGAAGUUGUGAUGUUUUGAUUGUCUAGGGAUCUCAAGUACUAAAGCUCAAUCAUGCAUGUUUCGCUGUAGUCUCUGUACGUUUAAGUUUUGACAUUUUACCAAACUCACUCACUGACUCACGUUAGGUUUGACUUGUAAAGAGUUGUAACACAAAUAAAAUGAAAAGAUGGCUAGUUGGGCCUAAGAUGGGCUUUAACAGGCCGGAUUUUUCACAAACAAGUCAAAGUUGUUUUCGUGAAGCCUUUGACCGAUUCCUUUACUCCAAAGAGGAAGAGUGGAAUACGACUCGUAGACGUCGACGUCUUUCUUUAAUGUACACCAUUGGAUCCCAUCUCAAUUUUUGCAAACUGGGUUCUCUUUUUCUUGAGGACUAGUUGCCUUAUUUAAUCACAUAUUGUUUCUUUAAAUGCUUACCACUUUCAUUUCUACAUCCGAAAAUAGCUUAAUUGGACAAGGAAACGAAUAUAUCAAUCUACGCGUCUAUCGAGCCCUUUAAUUCAGCAUUCAUUACGUUGCUUCGUAGUAGGAGCAUCAGAGUAUAUUAAUUCAAUGAAACCAGAUCAUCGGCUAAGAUUAUUAGCGUUGGUUCAUCACUAAAAACUCAAAUUCAAAAUUUAAAAGUUAUAAUGGUCCCCAAAAAAAAUAAUUUGAGUCACUUAUUUCUGUUCUAUCCGGGGAACGUCUCCAUUGACCAUUUUGGUUUGUUAAGCAAAAAGAGAUAGGAUUCUAAUUCUUCAACUUAGGUGGUGUUAUUCAAUGAUGGAUUUUAAUAGAAUUGAAAUCAAACACUAAUCCAGUGUUAUUCAACUAAUGAUUAUAAAUCUAAUGUUAAAAUCUGGUGUUAUUAGAUCUUAUACUUCAUUAGAUUUUA